UACGUAGGGCCAAGCGUUGUCCGGAUUUAUUGGGCGUAAAGAGCUCGUAGGCGGUUGGGUAAGUCGGGUGUGAAAACUCCAGGCUCAACUUGGAGAUGCCACCCGAUACUGCUCUGACUUGAGUUCGGUAGGGGAGUGGGGAAUUCCUGGUGUAGCGGUGAAAUGCGCAGAUAUCAGGAGGAACACCGGUGGCGAAGGCGCCACUCUGGGCCGAAACUGACGCUGAGGAGCGAAAGCGUGGGUAGCAAACAGG
rnacentral:rRNA from 1 species